rnacentral:tRNA from 1 species
AGCCAGCAUGGUGUAGUGGCUUGAGUCUUGGACUAUGACUCUAGAGACCAGGGUUCAAUUCCCAGUUUAGCUA